rnacentral:rRNA from 1 species
UAGGGAAUCUUCCGCAAUGGACGAAAGUCUGACGGAGCAACGCCGCGUGAACGAUGAAGGCCUUCGGGUCGUAAAGUUCUGUCGUUAGGGAAGAACAAGUGCCGUUUGAAUAAGGCGGCACCUUGACGGUACCUAACCAGAAAGCCACGGCUAACUACGUGCCAGCAGCCGCGGUAAUACGUAGGUGGCAAGCGUUGUCCGGAAUUAUUGGGCGUAAAGCGCGCGCAGGCGGUCUCUUAAGUCUGAUGUGAAAGCCCAUGGCUCAAUCAUGGAUGGUCAUUGGAAACUGGGAGACUUGAGUACAGAAGAGGAGAGUGGAUUCCACGUGUAGCGGUGAAAUGCGUAGAUAUGUGGAGGAACACCAGUGGCGAAGGCGACUCUCUGGUCUGUAACGACGCUGAGGCGCGAAAGCGUGGGGAGCAAACAGGUUAGAUACCCUGGUAGUCCACGCCGUAAACGAUGAGUGCUAGGUGUUAGGGGUUUCGAUGCCCUUAGUGCCGAAGUUAACACAUUAAGCACUCCGCCUGGGG